rnacentral:rRNA from 1 species
UACGAAGGGGGCUAGCGUUGCUCGGAAUCACUGGGCGUAAAGCGCACGUAGGCGGCUUUUUAAAGUCAGGGGUGAAAUCCUGGAGCUCAACUCCAGAACUGCCUUUGAAUACUGAGAAGCUUGAGUCCGGGAGAGGUGAGUGGAACUGCGAGUGUAGAGGUGAAAUUCGUAGAUAUUCGCAAGAACACCAGUGGCGAAGGCGGCUCACUGGCCCGGUACUGACGCUGAGGUGCGAAAGCGUGGGGAGCAAACAGG